rnacentral:rRNA from 1 species
CUGGCUCAGGACGAACGCUGGCGGCGUGCCUAAUACAUGCAAGUCGAGCGAACAGAGAAGGAGCUUGCUCCUUCGACGUUAGCGGCGAACGGGUGAGUAACACGUGGGCAACCUACC